AGACGUCUACAUUAGAUACCCGCGUUAGUCCCAGCCGUAAACUAUGCGCGUUAGGUGUUAUCGGUGACCACGAGUCACCGAGGUGCCGAAGGGAAACCGUGAAACGUGCCGCCUGGGAAGUACGGUCGCAAGGCUGAAACUUAAAGGAAUUGGCGGGGAGCACCACAACGGGUGGAGCCUGCGGUUUAAUUGGACUCAACGCCGGGAAGCUCACCGGAUAAGGCAGCGGAAUGAUUGCCGGGCUGAAGACUCUGCAUGACUAGCUG
rnacentral:rRNA from 1 species